UCAAUCCAUCAUCCCUCCACUCAUCCAUUCACCCAUUAAUCCAUCCCUCCAUCCAUCACUCCACUCAUCCAUACAUCCUUUUAUCUACCCAUCCGUCUGUCCACAUAUCCAUCCAUCCACCCAUCCAUUCAUCCAUCAUCCCUCUACUCAUUCAUCAAUCCAUCAUCUCUCCACUCAUCCAUUCAUCCAACCAUCCAUCUACUCAUCUAUCUAUUCUUCCAUAUACUUAUUUACUUCCUGACCACCACCACCGCCACCAAAAAUGUAGCAAUUCCUUUUAGUAACAGCUGCUUCGAUAUCAUCAUGAGCUUCAUCAAGGUGACUAAUUUCAGAGAGAGCUUUGAGAAUCAGAAACUUAAAGACUGGCAUUGGGUGUCACUGAGAAAACAGCAGACAGAUGUUAACAUGAGCUCUGCUGUUCUGAGUGGUAUUUUCCUGGAAGUCUGUCAAGGAGUUUUCCAACUAAAAUUAACUUUGUGACAUCUGAGCCAGAAACACAAGCUGUGCUUCAUUCCCAGCCCUCAUGCAUGUGCCUGCGUGCAUGUGUGUGAGUGCCACUGUGUGCCUGUGCCCGUGUGCACAUGCUUCUGUGUGCCUACAUGCUUCUGUGUGUAGAUUUGCAUGCCUAUGCCUGGUGUAUGUGUAUGUGUGCAUGAGUCUGUGUGUUGGGGAUGAGAUCAGGUAUAGUAAAUAUUUUGGGGAAUAGUAAGAAAAGGCAGCAUUGUAUUAAUUGGCACAUCGUUCACAAGAAUUUAAACACCAUGUAGCUCACUUUACAGAACUCAAACAUGCUUUCUGAAUUGCAUUGAAUUGAAGGAAGAAGCACACCUUUGCCAGGAUUACUCCAGGGAAUCUUGUCAUUCAGUCACCAGCAAAGGUGGAGUGGAUUCUUUAUAAUGUGCCUGUCUUUAGUUAUCCAGGUGGUAACAAUGAAUGACAGAUGAAAUGGCAACCAGAAGGCCUGACUAUUUCUGAGGCUGACUCUGUAGGCUAUAUUUUGAAGUGUCUACUUUUCUAGAAAUGGCUCCAUUUCUCCCCAGGGACUCCAUUCUUUGAACUCCAUUAAUAGGCUUUUUUGUCUUCUGGCUUUCAGUUGCAUUUGGUCAGCGGCGGUGGUGAUGGGAGUAGCCAUCGGGGAGGGGGACACAAACAGCAGGCUAGAAGGGGUAUGGAGGAAAGUUAGGUUGGGUAUUUAUUCCCCUGGGUUCUUUAUAAGGGUUACUUUAGGCUGGUUGCACCCCUUGACUGAAAUGCAUACUUCUAUGUCAGCCCUUUGGGUAUCUGCUACCUCUUCCUUCCCCUAUCAAGCCUAGGAUGGAAACAGGAACUGCCUUUAUCAGCUCUGGCCUCUUGCACUGUCUCCCGUGAUCUUCCUACCCCUUGCUCAUGACUUUGUAAUAAUUCCAUUUAUUAGCCUUAACUUGUCCCAAUUUUCUGCCAAGGUGUCUCUGAUACACAGAACACCUAAGGUAAUGGGACCCUAAAGCAAGUCUAAACCCAUCUGUGUGUGAUUUUUCUCCAUUGAAAGUUAUAUCAUACCAGACUUCCUUGCCCACAAGAAAGUUGUCAAGGCACAAUGAGAAAGUAGAAGAAGGGUUCUGGAAGGGUUAAAAUAAAAAGGCAAUUCAACAGUAAGAUGCUAAUGCACCUUAUACAAUGUCAUCUCUGUAUCUUUUCAGCUAUAAUAAUAGGCAAGAGUAAAAUGCUUAGUCACUCACUAUCCCAGGAAAGUGGAUCCUGUGCUUUCUGAGAUGUUCAUUAGGCAGCAUCUUGCUUUCUACUGAUAAUUCAGCUGAGCAUGAAAAAUGUGUUGCACAAAUUCCAAACUUCAUCAGAACAUCCCCACACAUGGCUGGGUGCCCUCCAUUCUGUGGACACAGAUGUCCAGUCGCUGAGACAAAUGAGUCACACUGGAAAUCGGUAAGUGCCAUAAAACCACACUUGACUUCCCGAGUGCAGCUUGCUUGGAAUGCAUGGUUUUUGACCAAACUCAAGGAAGAACUUUGCCGGGCAUUCCAGGACACAGCCUCUUGUAGCUUAGGGUAAAACAGUCCUUGAGAUGCCUCAGCACCCAGCAUCCACAACACUCUAGGAUAUACAUUCCCAUGGGGGCACCUCUCCAUAUCCUUCACCCUGGCUAUGGGCUUGCCCAGUGAGGCACAGGGACAUUUGAAGUCCUGGGUGAGCAAGCAUGAGCACACGGGUUAGGCUGUCCUACCCUGUUUUCUCAGGCAGUUGUUCCAUACCCAGAUUUUUCAGUGUUGUGUGUGGAUUGCCAUACACCCCAAGUCUAGGUUCAUCCAUUUAAUGAGAUGCACCUCACUGGCUACAGCACUCACAGGUUUAAGCUAAGCAGGAAGAAAGUGUAUAAGGUGUAGCAGGUAGGUACUUUCUUGCCUGAUGCAUUCCACUCCUUUGAUAAGCAGAAACAAACAAACAAAAAAAAAACAACUGAAGGCCAGGAUUAGGGCUGGAGAGCAAAGAGGAAGAUGGAAUUUUCUUGGACAUUUUGCUGUGGAGUAGCAAGCAGAGCAGCAGGGAGCAGGAACAAAGAUAUUUGGCACAAAGAAGGCUUUGACUCGCUAGUUACAUUCUACAGAGUUUGGGGGGCUCUCUCUGGAAGGGUUCCAAGCUCUGCAUAUCAAGGUCUCCCUGGUCUUAUGUCCUUCAGACUAGACUCCAAUGUCUGAUUGUGUCAGCAAUGCCUCAAGGCAAUGUCUUACCACCCCAUUUCACACUUAGUUUCUGGAAUAGCCUCCUCACUUUAUCUGUCUUUCCUCUCCUCCUUUACCAUAGCAAUAGGGACCCGAGUAGGGAGGAUGCUCUGCGUCCCUGGUUCCCUCAAUCUUCUUGGAAGAGUCUGGUCUCUCUCCUGAUAGAGUUUUAGGUUUGCCCUGAUGAUCCAGAUGAAGCAAAGUGUGGUGACACUUCGCUGAAUGCUCUGUCAGUGUGCCUAGAAAUAGAGUCUCUAUCAGGGUUGUCUGCUUCCUAUCACACUCCAACUGGCAAGCAGGUGGAUUUUCUCACUUGGCAGCUGGCUCCCAUCUGCCCCCUGUCAGUCUGCAAAUAUUACCCAAGUUAAACGCGAACUUCUAGCAGUGAUGUGCACAGCCACAAAAAAAAUAUGAAUUCAAAUAUACACUUUUGAAAGGGACACCUUAGUUCAGUCAUUUAAAUUCAUUAUCUCAAAGAUCAGUUUCACUAAAACUCCCACUUGUGCUCAACAGAAAUCACGCUGACGUCAGGCACUUCCCUCAAUUCUCAGAAGUUGAGCAGGUCUAAGCCAUCCCGUUCAACACACAAUUCCCUUCAGUUUCCCUUACAAGACCUCAAACAAAUGUCCAGGAACUGAUUCAGGAUAUAUGUUCUCCUCGGAAACUGGUUACUCAAGUUCUUGGUGGCUUAAUACAAAUACAGUAAACAAGGGACUUCCCAGGGGAGUCAUUCAGUCAAAGCCAGCAUGGGACCUGGUGACCUGCAGUGUCACAGGCUGGACUUCAGCACAAUGAGUUCUUACAUAACAGAAAACACAUGGGUUAAAAGUCACAGACACAUCCUGAAGAUACUUCCCUUAUUUAUAUAUUUUUAAACUUUUAUUUUAGGUUUGGGGGUACAUGUGAAAGUUUAUUAUAUAGAUAAACACGUCAUGUGGGUUUGUCAUACAGAUUAUUUCAUCACCCGGGUAGUAAGCCCAGUACCCAAUAGUUAUCUUUUCUGCUCCUCUUCCUCCUCCCACAUACCCCUACUUUCCUUAUUUUAAGAAAACAAUGCUGGUGAUGUCCCUACAGCUCUUCCUAAAGGUAGAUGAAUGAACUACAGUUCUAUUAAAGACCCUAUGGGUCCAGACCUGUGUGUGUCAGUUCUAGUUUACUAAUCCCUUACUGAACGCAUUUGACAGGAUCUUUGCUGUUAACAGGGGACAGAGCAAGGACAUGUGACAUGUGACUUCAGCUAUAAAAUAACACAGCAGCUCCCAUCACCUGCUCCUCAGAGAGCUCCUCAGGAGCAAGGAUGUAAGUCCCUUUCCCCUAUGUCUCCCUGAAUGACUCUCACUUGGCCAUAAUUUACAACGAGAGGGUAUACAUGCUCAUGAAGGAUGCAUAUCUUUGCCUCUGUCUACCCUGACACUGGCCCUGGCCCUGUGGACUAGAAAGUCUUUGAGAAAAUUGUGAGGUCCUGCAAUUGUGUGAUUUCCUUCCGUGUACCCAGGUUCUGAAUCGGAGCAUAGAGAGCGACCAUCAUUGGCCAGGGAGAGUCUAGAGGACAUGUCAUGGCUGUCUUUUUUGUCUCUCUUUUGUUAGAUUCCUGGUAUCAUUUAUGGCCACAGGUCAUUUUACUGAAGAGGAGGAACCUGGGAUCAAGUUCUGUGACUUCAAAGAAGAGUCAUGUGUACAAAACUUUGGGAGACGAUCACCACAGACAGGAUUUGGAGACAGGAGCCUAUUUGAUCUUUUUCUUCUCCUUCUUAAAAGUGAUAAUAUGAACAUAAAACUAUUUACAGCUUUAAACAAACCCGUAGUUCAGUACUGAAGCGUGCGUAACACAUUCCUCUCAACUGAACAAUACACAAGCAGGCAUUCUGGAGAUUUUAUUGCACCAGAUUGGUGUGAUUAUAAGUAAGAAGAUUGGCAACAUCAGCUCCCUGGAAAAAGGCUUGACACAGGUUAACACUUUAAUAUGAAUAACUUUUUCUCUAAUUAAAAAAAGAUUUCUUAAUGUAUUUUCUUUGCUUAAUCUCCACUGUGUCUUGCUGUAUCCAACCCUACAUCUUUGUCUGUAUUCACAUGCGUAUAUAUUCAAUCCUAUAUCUCAAAUAUGAAAAUUAUCUCCAUCCCUUCUUGCCCUAUUGUUGCCGUGAUUUGCAGAGCAUCAUUGUGCAGCUGUGGAUGAAUGGCCUUCCGGGGCUGUUUCCAACCUUAUUUCCUUUUGCUGCUGGUUAGUUUGAUGCCCUAGGUUUAAGUGUUGGGAUAUUUGUGGUUUGGAACUUCUAAGUUUCAUGCUAGUUUUUUUAAUGAAAAAAAACUAUGCUUGGGAUAUGCAUUCUUAUCUAAAGAACAAGAAAUGUUCUUGUUGACCCUCAUAUGACCCUCAGGAACCAAAUUCAGGCUCUGGGCAUCCGGGAUUAAGCUUCCUGAAAAGCUCUACUUCAUGGGCUGACAGUUACGUGCCUUUCACAUGAAAAUUUCCUCUGCUGCUGAAAGAAAAUGCACAAUUACCAGAGGAAAUGUCACUUCACAUGAUGCACAGGUGAUAGAGAAAAAAUGUGCAUUUGUGUAAAGAAACAAACAUUCCCAAAUAUGCCUGCCUCAUUUGUGCUUCCUUAAGGGCAAAAUGCCCUUUUGGGAAACAGACCUUUCCUAGUAGCAUUUUCAAUGACUCUCAGUCCUUCUCACAUUUGGCUUUGACUGAAUUCAGACUUUUCUUGUCAAUUAAAAAUGAUAAAUUUGACUUCUUGCAGGAAGAUAAAUGAUCAGCCUGUGUCAAGCAUGUGAAGACCUAAGAUUUCAGAUGCACUGGAAUCAUCCUGAAAAAUUCAUCCGGCACACCCAGAUGGAUGAUCAAAUGACCGUCAUCCAGGGAAAGUCUGGGAGGUCUCACGCAGUAUGCAGACACUGGAAAAUUCCUACCUUCCUACAGAAGACGUGAAAUUGAGGAAAAAAGAAGCAAUACCAAGUUGCAUUAGGAGCCACGAAAGCCAGGCUUUGCCAACUUUACAGUUUGGGGCAGGUUGGCUGUUAGCUGGAAUGCCAUCUGGGUAUUGAGGACCUUGCCCAUUAAACAGGAGCUCCUAUUUAAUGUCUUGGUAAGAGGAAGCACCACAAUCACUAUGUUAGUGCUUCCAGGUCAAGGUAUUUCCACUGUGAUGACAUUAGGGUGCAGUUCUCUGCAAAAUAGUGCUGUUUUAAGCUGUCUAAGUGUGAGAUUAUGUAUUACAACAGGGAGCUUUUUUUUUGCUUAUUAUCUUUUGUAAGACACCAAGGAUGAAAGAUACUUACUUCAUCAAGGUAAGUGAGCCGUUUAGUGCCACUGAAUAUCUUACCCCUGUGGCUCACCAUAGAAACCCAGCCUGGGUAUUUUAUUGCCUUCUGUACAGAUAUAUUGAAAUGAGAUGCUCAUCACCACAGGUUUCUUGCCACUCUACAUAUCCGUAUUCACUCUCUGAGCUGGAGUUGUCUUCCUAAGGGUAAUGUGAGAAGGAUUUUCUUUCCAAUAUCCCCAGAUUUAUAGGGUUUCUAUUUUACAAGACCUUAUGGCACAUAUUUAGCUAGAGGCAGGUAAAACGAAAAAGGAUUAAAAAGUCUAGCACCACCAGAGAAGAAAGGGAUUGAAAUAUAAGCAGAUGAUUUGUAGUGUAGAAAGAAAAGUGGAACCUCUUUGUUGCUGAUGGUCUAGUGAUUGUAGCACAAAUUUCUGUGGAUUGAAGCAAUGGCUCGUUUGUACUGAGAAAAGGUGCUUUAGAUUAAUUUUAGAAACUUCAAUACUGCAAUGUGCUAAAUUUUAAUUAUUUCACUUCCUGCUUGGUAUAUUAAUGUUGUGAUUACCCUUGAAAGAGUAUUACCGAUGAUGAUUUAUGCAAAACCCAGUCAGCUCCACGGCUCCAUCAGUUUCAGUUAAAACAAGCCACAGAGGAGGUGUGCUGCGGCCCUGGUGCCUGUGAUCACCAUUGCUCCCACAAGCAGACUGUGGCUCCCGUGUUCUAUCAGUGCAGUCUCCACAGGCAGCAGUUUCUUCAGGACCAUCAUACCCAAGAGCACUUAGCAGUGGAAAUGUCACCUUUAUUAUCAUUCUCCUCCAUCUGAAGAAAACAGUUAUAAAGCCUGCCGACCAAUGCUGUCUUGGAAACUAAAUGACAGAGAAAUUAUAAAGGCCAAAAGAAAAUGGUAUACACUAUAAUAAGUUGAAUACAAAUUUCAGUGGAACUUUUUUUCUUGGCAAGUGUUGCUUUGCAGAGCCUUACCAGCUUUUUGUGGCAGGAUAUUUGCUGGCUUGGGACUUUGGGAGAUUAUUACAUUAUUGCAUGAUGCAGUAUACGGUGUUUUGGGGACUCCUGUGCCAUAUUUUCACUUUAAAUCAUCACUCAUAGCUUGGUGUUUCAUUGUUUAUAACGGUGAAGUCAGUAAUGAAUUUUCGAUCACAACAAACAUGAAAAGAAAUAUACUAAGCAUUUACAUACUGUGUCUGUGCUCUCUGCUGGGUUAGGAUGGAAGUCUACAGCACUGUGUUUUAAAGCACUUUUCUCAUCAGUCCUGCUCUUGCAGAAUCCUUAAAGAGCACAUUCCUACUGAGUAAGGGAAGGAAAAGGAGGUACCGUGUGUGGGGAAAGGUGAGGGGUCUCUCUGUAGGGUGUGUAACUUGCGACAAACCCAGAGUGAAGAAACUAGAGGGAAGUUGUAUUUUCCAUCCCUAGUGAGCUUUCAGGUACUUGCAGUUCUCUGGGUAACUGCAGUAGUUUCUCUCCUUCUGAUGCAAUGUUGUUAUGUUUUUCACUCAAACAUACUUGCAUCUUGAUGAUUCUACUCUCUAAAAAAGAUGAAAUGAAGAAUUUUUGAGAAAUAAACAUUUCAGGGAGGGACAGAAAUCAGGCAAAUGGUUUUGAGUGCAUACGUCUUAGAGUGUGUAGAAUUAGGGCACCAGGUUACAGAGGCAGGGCAAUCAGAGCAUAUUUCUUUUUUGAAUGUAAUAUACAUUAAUAUUGCAUGGACUAUUUUCUCCUCUGUCUGUUUUACUUAUUUUCAGAGGUAGAUUUGCAGUGACCUAGUACCCCAGUUACCUUGUUCUUCUGAAGACAUUCUCCAGAGACCGAGGUUGUCUUUAUUCAGUGCUUAACUCAGUUAGCUAUGUAGCUUGUGUUGAACUCUUGGAAGUUAGAACAUGCCUACAAAAAUGAUCCCAGGGCUGUCAGAUUCAGUGAUUUGAAACACUGUGAUAAUGCCUCCCUUAAGCUGUUAUGCCUAUAUUGAUAAAUAAUAAAUAAAGGAGAAAUUAGUAUGUUCUAAAACUAGUUGUAUAUUCUAAUUUUAGCAUAUGUGUGGGGAGUAGGGGAGAAAGGGAGAGAGAGAGAGAGAAUGGGAGAGAAUAAGAGAAAAAGGGAGAUAAAGACAGAUACUUUUCUUUUUACCAUUAUUUUGUUCUCUCCCCAAUCAAUGGCCACUGUGGAAAUUCUAAGCCCAGCCUAGAAAUUUCUGGAAUUUUUGUUUAAAUCACUUCCUUUUCAAGAGAGAGGGGAAUAUAUAGGAAGACUUUUCAUAUAGCAUACAUGCAUUCUGUCUAACAAAGUGCUCUGUGGGGUGUUCCUGAUACUAAGAACAUUUAAUAUUUUCUGGAAAAAUAUAUUUUAAGAGAGAAAGGAUUUAAUAGGUCCUUUGCUUCUGGUAAUCAGGUCAUCAGAUUAAAAAAGUAGUCAUCUAGUGGAGCUUUGUUAUGGGCUCCUCCUCUUGGUGAUUCACUGCGACCUCUGUUACUUUUGUAAAGCAGUGAUAUUGAAUGCACCUGGAAAAAAUUAUAAUCAGGUAUAAAAUUCAGUCAUUAAACAUGUCAGGUGUAUGUAUGGCUGCUUCAAAUGGUGUACUUUGUUCAUUUUAUGUAGAAAUAUACUGAUAUUCACAGAACUCAUCUAUUGCAAAGUGGCCCUCUCUUAAUAAUAUUUAGUGACUAAAUUUUAUUUCAACUUAUCUGGUUUUUAGAUGAUGUAAAACACCUAAAAGAAAGAAAUGUGAGGCUGGGUACGGUGGCUCACACCUGUAAUCCCAGCACUUUGGGAGGCUGAGGCGGGCGGAUCACGAGGUCAGGAGAUCGAGACCACCCUGGCUAACAUAAAUAAACCAUAAAUAAACCAAGCAGGAAAGACGAAUGAAGCAAGCGCAGAAGUCCAAAAGUAAGCCUAUGCACAUGACAAAUAUGAUAUUUCAGAGAAGAAAAGGUAGAUUUUUGAAAAAUAAUGUUGAAACAUCAUAUUAUCCAUUUUGAGAAAAAUAAAGUCACACGCUUAUGAAUACAGAAAAGCCCACAUGGAAUAAAAUGUUAGUAUUUAUGAUGACAAGAUUAGAAGAAAAUAGUGAAGUUUUCGUUUGUUUUGUUUUGUAAUUUCAAGGUAGAAGAGGAGUCUUCUUAGAAUGUACAUAUGCAAGAAUCCAUACAGGAAAAAUUAGCCAAUCUCAGUUAACUGCACAAAGAGAGAGA